UUCGGAGUGUGGGCAUUCGCUUGAGCUUUGGCUUGAGAGGAAAGUCCGGACACCGUAGGGCAGGAUUCCCUGUGAAAGCGGGGGACCGGCGGGGCAACCUGCCGGGACGGACAGUGUCACAGAAAACAAACCGCCCUGAGCAAACUUCUGGUUCGCGAAGGGUAAGGGUGAAAAGGUGAGGUAAGAGCUCACCGCUUCAGAGGUAACAAUGAAGGCAGGAUAAACCCAAUCCGGUGCAAGGCAAAAUAGGGAAUCGGGCGGCCCGUCCAACGAUUCCGGGUAUGUCGCACUUCGCUCCGGCGGAGAUCCCGCUCCGGCGGGAUAGAUAAAUGAAUGCCCAGUCGCUCUCAAGGGGCGACGGACAAAAUCCGGCUUACAGCACUCCGAAAUCG
rnacentral:RNase_P_RNA from 1 species